rnacentral:rRNA from 1 species
UACGUAGGGUGCAAGCGUUAAUCGGAAUUACUGGGCGUAAAGCGUGCGCAGGCGGUUUGUCGCGUCUGCCGUGAAAGUCCGGGGCUCAACUCCGGAUCUGCGGUGGGUACGGGCAGACUAGAGUGAUGUAGGGGAGACUGGAAUUCCUGGUGUAGCGGUGAAAUGCGCAGAUAUCAGGAGGAACACCGAUGGCGAAGGCAGGUCUCUGGGCCACUACUGACGCUGAGAAGCGAAAGCAUGGGGAGCGAACAGG